CUUUGAAAUCAUGGUCAAAGGUUCCACUUCCCUAGUGACAGUCACUGUCGGGGAUGGAGACCUGCCUUGGACAGAAGUUGGCCUGGGAUUAUGCAAGUCUUUGAGCGCUUCCUCAAUUCAAAUGUGCAAACUUUGAAACUACAAUAGUGACCAAGAGGAAAUCUUUGACAUUAUUUGUUUCAAGGGGAAAUGAACAGGAUGUGCCAGGACCCCGCAUGAAAUGGAAUGAACAAAUGGGAGAUGUUCUCUGGAUUAAACAGCUUAAUCUUUGGCCUUUGGGACCUGGAUUUCCAAAGAAGAACAGUCUGCUCUUUACCUGUCCCACCCCACUUCUACAAGUGCCACGUGGGAAGAAGAAACAGAAAAAGCGGCAGGGGUCUGACAUAGCUGGUUGCCUAUUCAUGGGAGGUGACCCUAAAGCCUAGUCCUUGGGGUUUCAACCAACAAUGGUCUCUGCUCAUCCAACAGAUGUUGUGCAUGACUUCUUAGGGCCACUCUUCUGCCUCGCCUCACCCUCCUCCUUCACUGAGGAACCCUUCAUAGAGUGUCAACCACAUCCCCUUUCUGGUGACACCAGGGAUCUAAACCUUCUCUGAGUGGGCAAUCCUUUCACCUACCCACAGCUGCCAAAAAAAUUCCAUAUCUUCUGCCUCCUUCUCAACUCUAUGCACCUUCUUACAAAACCACAGGAACCCCUGAGGUCCUUGUGUGAGGCUUCUGAUGGAUUAGCAGCCUGUCCCCCAUUUUCUUCACAUGUGUCCAAAACAAGGGCUGCCACACAUGUCGUGAUUCAUCUGCUCUAGUGAGGUCUCCGGUCUCUGCCUGAUGAAAUCACCACAUGAGACUAAGCUCUAGUCUUCUUGUUAUGUUUGACCCCUUCACUGUAAAGAACACACAUCAGCCUCUCCCAGCAUGUCCCUCACCUUCUGUUUCAGGUGUCGUGCUGGGAGGCCUCUGCCAGUUAGCUGCUUAGUGAGCAUUUAGUCAAGAAUGAGGUGCCUGGUAUCCCCUUCUUGCAAGUCACAUCUUCCUCUUCUAACCUCUUCCUUUCUCUAAUGCAGAGCUAGUUGUCUGCGAUGGUCCAUGCUUCCCCUCUCACAUCCCUGGGAGACCACAACCCGAGCAGACUAAGCAUCAGAGCCCCACUGGCUUGUAGGUGGGAUUGUAUGACUUAGUCUGACACAUAGAAUGGGCUGGUGACUUCUCGCUUUCUCUUCCUCAUCUGUCACUUGAAUCAGAAGACUGGUAUGCCCUGAGCAAUGAUCAGAGUACAGCUCACAAGGAGUUUUGGUUCUUUGGACUUCACAGAAGAAAACCACCUUCUGGUGAAUGCACACACAGACUUUGUGUGCGCAAGAAUAAAAACCGCUAUUGUGUUAA